AGUGAACGCUGGCGGUAGGCCUAACACAUGCAAGUCGAACGGCAGCACAGUAAGAGCUUGCUCUUACGGGUGGCGAGUGGCGGACGGGUGAGGAAUACAUCGGAAUCUACUUUUUCGUGGGGGAUAACGUAGGGAAACUUACGCUAAUAUCGCAUACGACCUACGGGUGAAAGCAGGGGAUCUUCGGACCUUGCGCGAUUGAAUGAGCCGAUGUCGGAUUAGCUAGUUGGCGGGGUAAAGGCCCACCAAGGCGACGAUCCGUAGCUGGUCUGAGAGGAUGAUCAGCCACACUGGAACUGAGACACGGUCCAGACUCCUACGGGAGGCAGCAGUGGGGGAUAUUGGACAAUGGGCGCAAGCCUGAUCCAGCCAUACCGCGUGGGUGAAGAAGGCCUUCGGGUUGUAAAGCCCUUUUGUUGGGAAAGAAAAGCAGCAGGUUAAUACCCCGCUGUUCUGACGGUACCCAAAGAAUAAGCACCGGCUAACUUCGUG
rnacentral:rRNA from 1 species